rnacentral:rRNA from 1 species
AGCGGCGGACGGGUGAGUAAAGCCUAGGAAUCUGCCUGGUAGUGGGGGAUAACGUUCGGAAACGGACGCUAAUACCGCAUACGUCCUACGGGAGAAAGCAGGGGACCUUCGGGCCUUGCGCUAUCAGAUGAGCCUAGGUCGGAUUAGCUAGUUGGUGAGGUAAUGGCUCACCAAGGCGACGAUCCGUAACUGGUCUGAGAGGAUGAUCAGUCACACUGGAACUGAGACACGGUCCAGACUCCUACGGGAGGCAGCAGUGGGGAAUAUUGGACAAUGGGCGAAAGCCUGAUCCAGCCAUGCCGCGUGUGUGAAGAAGGUCUUCGGAUUGUAAAGCACUUUAAGUUGGGAGGAAGGGCAUUAACCUAAUACGUUAGUGUUUUGACGUUACCGACAGAAUAAGCACCGGCUAACUCUGUGCCAGCAGCCGCGGUAAUACAGAGGGUGCAAGCGUUAAUCGGAAUUACUGGGCGUAAAGCGCGCGUAGGUGGUUUGUUAAGUUGGAUGUGAAAUCCCCGGGCUCAACCUGGGAACUGCAUUCAAAACUGACUGACUAGAGUAUGGUAGAGGGUGGUGGAAUUUCCUGUGUAGCGGUGAAAUGCGUAGAUAUAGGAAGGAACACCAGUGGCGAAGGCGACCACCUGGACUAAUACUGACACUGAGGUGCGAAAGCGUGGGGAGCAAACAGGAUUAGAUACCCUGGUAGUCCACGCCGUAAACGAUGUCAACUAGCCGUUGGGAGCCUUGAGCUCUUAGUGGCGCAGCUAACGCAUUAAGUUGACCGCCUGGGGAGUACGGCCGCAAGGUUAAAACUCAAAUGAAUUGACGGGGGCCCGCACAAGCGGUGGAGCAUGUGGUUUAAUUCGAAGCAACGCGAAGAACCUUACCAGGCCUUGACAUCCAAUGAACUUUCUAGAGAUAGAUUGGUGCCUUCGGGAACAUUGAGACAGGUGCUGCAUGGCUGUCUUCACCUCGUGUCCUGAGAUGUUGGGUUAAGUCCCGUAACGAGGGCAACCCUUGUCCUUAGUUACCAACACCGUAAUGGUGGGCACUCUAAGGGAAUGGCCGGUGACAAACCGGAGGAAAGUGGGGAUGAACUCCAAGUCAUCAUGGCCCUUACGGCCUGGG